rnacentral:rRNA from 1 species
GGUGAACGCUGGCGGCGUGCCUAACACAUGCAAGUCGAUCGGAGCAGCAAUGCUUAGAGGCGAACGGGUGAGGAAAACGUAGUAACCAACCCUUUAGACUGGGAUAGCCACUGGAAACGGUGGGUAAUACCGGAUAAGCUCGAGAGAGGAAAGGCAGAGAAGCGCUAAAGGACGGAACUGCGCCCCAUCAGAUAGUUGGUGAGGUAAAGGCUUACCAAGUCAAAGACGGGAAACCGACGUGAGAGCGUGUACGGUCACAAGGGCACUGAGAGACGGGCCCUACCCCUACGGGGGGCAGCAGUGGGGAAUUUUGGACAAUGGGCGCAAGCCUGAUCCAGCAAUGCCGCGUGCAGGAUGAAGGCCUUCGGGUUGUAAACUGCUUUGUACGGAGCGAAAGGCUCUCUCUAAUACGGGGGUUCGAUGACGGUACCGUAAGAAUAAGCACCGGCUAACUACGUG